GGGGAAUUUUGGACAAUGGGGGCAACCCUGAUCCAGCCAUGCCGCGUGUGUGAAGAAGGCCUUCGGGUUGUAAAGCACUUUCGGACGGAACGAAAUCGCACGAUCUAACAAGUCGUGUGGAUGACGGUACCGUAAGAAGAAGCACCGGCUAACUACGUGCCAGCAGCCGCGGUAAUACGUAGGGUGCGAGCGUUAAUCGGAAUUACUGGGCGUAAAGUGUGCGCAGGCGGCAAAGCAAGUCGAGUGUGAAAGCCCCGAGCUUAACUUGGGAAUUGCGCUCGAAACUACUUUGCUGGAGUGUGGCAGAGGAAGGUGGAAUUCCACGUGUAGCGGUGAAAUGCGUAGAGAUGUGGAGGAACACCAAUGGCGAAGGCAGCCUUCUGGGCCAACACUGACGCUCAUGCACGAAAGCGUGGGGAGCAAAC
rnacentral:rRNA from 1 species